rnacentral:lncRNA from 10 species
ACUAUGAUUGCACCAUUGCCUGGGCAAUACAUCAAGACCCUGCCUCAAAAGAAAACAAAACAAAACCAGAAAAUCAAAUCUAUCUCAUCAUUAGACCUGCGAUGAACCAUUCCCCUGCAACAUACCAUUGGAACGCUGAAAAUUUAGAUGUAAAAAAGCCUUCCCUAUUCCCUUCUGGGAAUUCCUCUGUGACCACUCACUUCUCCCCACUUCUUCCUCCCACUCCCCCACCAGGGUCGGAAAAUGUCUGUGUGCACCGACAAUGUCACUGACCUCCGGAUUCCUGAGGGUGAGUCAGGGUUCUCCAAAUCUAUCACAGCCUACGUCUGCCAGGCAGUCAUCAUCCCCCCAGAGGUGACAGGCUACAAGGCCGGGGUUUCCUCACAGCCUGUCAGCCUUGCUGACCGACUUAUUGGGGUGACAACAGAUAUGACUCUGGAUGGAAUCACCUCCCCCGCUGAACUUUUCCACCCGGAGUCCUUGGGAAUACCGGACGUGAUCUUCUUUUAUAGGUCCAAUGAUGUGACCCAGUCCUGCAGUUCUGGGAGAUCAACCACCAUCCGUGUCAGGUGCAGUCCACAGAAAACUGUCCCUGGAAGUUUGUCGCUGCCAGGAACGUGCUCGGAUGGGACCUGUGAUGGCUGCAACUUCCACUUCCUGUGGGAGAGUGCGGCUGCUUGCCCGCUCUGCUCAGUGGCUGACUACCACGCUAUCGUCAGCAGCUGUGUGGCUGGGAUCCAGAAGACUACUUACGUGUGGCGAGAACCCAAGCUAUGCUCUGGUGGCAUUUCUCUGCCUGAGCAGAGAGUCACCAUCUGCAAAACCAUAGAUUUCUGGCUGAAAGUGGGCAUCUCUGCAGGCACCUGUACUGCCAUCCUGCUCACCGUCUUGACUUGCUACUUUUGGAAAAAGAAUCAAAAACUAGAGUACAAGUACUCCAAGCUGGUGAUGAAUGCUACCCUCAAGGACUGUGACCUGCCAGCAGCUGACAGCUGUGCCAUCAUGGAAGGCGAGGAUGUGGAAGACGACCUCAUCUUUACCAGCAAGAAGUCACUCUUUGGGAAGAUCAAAUCAUUUACCUCCAAGGUAGGGGGCCUGGCCAGUGCACUGAGGUCAGCCUGGAGGGCUGGAGGAGACACUGCUCCUCAGACACCGAAUGGUCCUGUACCGUUCAGGGAUGGGCGCCCUGUUCCCCACGCCCCAUACAAUUCCAUUUCCCCACUCUGAAAAUCCUGCCUUCUGCCUUCUGUAUUUCUACACCAAUACUCUUUCCCCCCGGGGCCCAAGGCUGCUCUUGAUCAGGCUCCUUCUCUCUCAACAUCUCAACAUGUACUCCAGUUAGUGAGCUGCUUGGGCCCUCUCACUUCCAGAAGGAGUACUGAACCAUCCAUGUUGUAAGAAUCAUCCCGGGCCGGGCGCGGUGGCUCAAGCCUGUAAUCCCAGCACUUUGGGAGGCCGAGAUGGGCGGAUCACGAGGUCAGGAGAUCGAGACCAUCCUGGCUAACACGGUGAAACCCCGUCUCUACUAAGAAAUACAAAAAAUAGCCGGGCGAGGUGGCGGGCGCCUGUAGUCCCAGCUACUCGGGAGGCUGAGGCCGGAGAAUGGCGUGAACCCGGGAGGCGGAGCUUGCAGUGAGCUGAGAUCCGGCCACUGCAUUCUAGCCUGGGCUACAGAGCGAGACUCCGUCUCAAAAAAAAAAAAAAAAAAAAAAAGAAUCAUCCCCCACCCCUUUUUUUAUUUUCACUGAAAGGGGGAAAAGAUGAUCUCUGGGAUCAACUUCUGAUAGAAGUCAGGCUCCCCUUUGACCAGUGGGAGGCGCUGUCCUCCAGGUGUCUGGGUCCAGUCCUUUGAGAGCUGAAUCAUAGUUCAGUCUCAGCUGUUCCCCACUGAGCAAUUCUGAGCUGGGAGGGCUGGGUGAGUUUGUGUGGGUGGGUGAGUGAGUAUGAAGCUCAUAAAUGCAAUACAGACAAUACUGUCACUGGGCGUGGGGCCAGCUGAGAGCAUUCAAGCACCUCCUCCAGUGGCCCUCUGCAGCCCCACUCUGCCAGUGCCCAUAUCUGACUACUGCUCUGAACCAGUUCAUCCCAAUAGGAGUGGGUGGGGAGGGUAGAAAGAGGAAGGAGUGUAUUGGGAGGUGGUGAAGAGAAGGACCGUGCUUGGGUGUUCAGAUUGCUGAGUCUUGUUUCCUUUGUGCUGACCUGCUAGGGAGACUCCCUUGGCCUCCUUAGACUGCGAUUUUUUUUUUAAACCAAUGGGAGAACAGUUCACCCUGGGACUCUUGAGUCUAUCUGGGACUGCUAGAAUUCAGCAAAGGUGCAAAGCAGGGGAGUUUUAAGAUUUUUGGCUCAUGCCUGUAAUCCCAGCACUUUGGGAGGCCCAGGCUGGAGGAUCUCUUGAGGCUGGGAGUUCAAGAUCAGCCUAGGCAACAUCGCAAGACCCCAUCACUACAAAAAAAAAAAAACAAUUAGCUGGGUGUGGUGGANNNNNNNNNNNNNNNNNNNNNNNNNNNNNNNNNNNNNNNNNNNNNNNNNNGGGUUCAAGCAUUUCUCCUGCCUUAGCCUCCCUAGAUGCUAGGACUACAGGUGCAUUCCACCACACCUGGCUAAUUUUUUUUUUGUAUUUUUAGUAGAGAGAGAUUUCCGCAUGUCAGCCAGGCUGGUCUUGAAUUCCUGACCUCAGGUGAUCUGCCUGCUUUGGCCUCCCAAAGUGCUGGAAUUACAGGCGUGAGCCACUGUGCCUGGCCAAAAACAUUUUUUUGAAAGAAAAAAAUAUUUUCUUUGUUUUUUUUUGAGAUGGAGUUUCGCUCUUGUCGCCCAGGCUAGAGUGCAGUGGUAUGAUCUUGGCUUACUGCAACCUCUGCUCCUGGGUUCAAGUGAUUCUCCUUCCUCAGCCUCCUGAGUAGCUGGGAUUACAUGCGCCUGCCACUAUGCCUGGCUAAUUUUUGUAUUUUCAGUAGAGAUGGGGUCUCACCAUGUUGGCCAGGCUGGUCUCGAACUCCUAACCUCAGGUGAUCCGCCUGCCUUGGCCUCCCAAGUGCUGGGAUUACAGGCAUGAGCCACCACACCCGGCCUAAAAGAAAAAGAUGUUUAUUGUUCUCCAACUCACACUGAAGGGAGCAAGCAGAAUAGAGGGUAUCUAAUUUCUGUAUUUCCACAAAGCCACUGAAACAGUAAUUUCAUAAGGGUUCCUUCUGUCACCUAUUUUCCAUUUCUCUCCUUUGUCCCCAAACUUGCCCCUGUGCAGCAGCCAGCUCCUGUCACCAUCUCUCUUUCAGAGGACUCCUGAUGGAUUUGACUCAGUGCCGCUGAAGACAUCCUCAGGAGGCCCAGACAUGGACCUGUGAGAGGCACUGCCUGCCUCACCUGCCUCCUCACCUUGCAUAGCACCUUUGCAAGCCUGCGGCGAUUUGGGUGCCAGCAUCCUGCAACACCCACUGCUGGAAAUCUCUUCAUUGUGGCCUUAUCAGAUGUUUGAAUUUCAGAUCUUUUUUUUUAUAGAGUACUCAAACCCUCCUUUCUGCUUGCCUCAAACCUGCCAAAUAUACCCACACUUUGUUUGUAAAUUAUGCCCUUGCUUGUAUCUUGUUUCCCAAAAUGGCCCAUCCGCCAGAGCCAUAGCUUUGUCUGCUCAUAAUUCUUACAGCUCUGGAAUGAAGAUAUUUCUCUCUUCUUAAGUAUAGAAACUAUUUCCUCUGUCCUCUAACUUAAGUGCAGAAACAGCUGGGAGCUUUCCUCGCAUGCCCUCAGCUCAUGAUCUCUUUAGGAGAGAGGCUGGGUGAGGAGGGUGUCGGGGUUCCCUGGUGGACAAUCUUCAUAGCAGCCUGGAUCCAUUUCCCGUGGAUAACCAGCUCAAAGGGAGUGAAAUGGGUAGUCUGAGGGCAAGGUGAGUAAGGCCUGGGUAAGAAAAGGCUUGAAAAGCACAAAGAGAGGCAACAAGGAAUGGUUUUGUUUUUGAGACAGGGUCUCGCUCUGUCACCUAGGCUGCAACAGUGGCAUAAUCACUGUUCACUGCAGCCUCAAUCUCUUGGGCUCAAGCUAUCCUCCCACCUCAACCUCCCAAGUAGCUAGGACUACAAGUGUGCACCACCAGGCUCACUAAUUUUUGUAUUUUUUUUGUAGAGACCGGGUUUCACCAUGUUGCUCAGGCUGGUCUCCAACUCCUGGGCUCAAGUGAUCUGUCUGCAUCAGCCUCUCAAAGUACUGGGAUUACAGGCAUAAGCCACUGCACUCAGCCUUUUAUUUGUUUUUUAAACCGGGUAACUCAUUCUUUUCUCUUAAGUAAAUGAUAGAUAUUCUCACUGAAGCCAAAGGAAAAAGUUCAUGAAGAAAAUGCCCAAAGCCCUGUGGAUACAUCUCCCUAUUUUUUUUAAACCUCCCACUAUCACUCUAUGACACUGAAAAGAACCAGGUAAGCCCCAAACCCAGAUGUUCCAGCCUUAUCCUCAAUUGGGUUUACCCACAGAGAUGGCAAACCCCUGUCAGUGAGGAAGAUUCCCCAUCCUUGAGUGCCCCCAUCCUAGCAGUUUGGGCCAUAUUAUGGAAUAGGGGUCUCUUAUUUGAAAAGAGCACAGGGAGGCCAAGAUUUUAAUGGGGCACUUUAGGGGAUCCAGCCCACAAUGGCAUGGGCCUGCGGUGGCCGUGAUAUCUGCUUCUAAGCUUACCAUCUGCUCAGGCACAGAAUCAAUGUCUAGACUGGCCACAAAAGAAACUGAAUCCCAGGCCCAUACCCCAGCAGCAGAAUCAAACCAGUCUUCAAGGAAGGAAGGCUAGGAGAGUUUAACAAGAUGUUCACCGGGCCCAGCAUGGUGGCUCAUACCUGUAAUCCCAAGGCAGGAUGGUCGCUUGAGCUCAGGAGUUCAAGACCAGCCUGGGCAACAUAGUGAGACCCUAUCUCUAAAAGAUUAAAAAAUAAACAAGGUGUUCACCAAGCUGGGAUACUUCUCACUUUUAAGCCCCUAUCUUUCUCUCUCUUUUUUUUUUUUUCAUUCUCAAUUGCUUUGUGUGAUAAAAAACUAAAGAGACUUCUGGUCCAAUUUCUGGCAACAUCCCUUCUGAAAGGUGAGUAGAGUGGGUGUCUUCUAUGCCUGUUUUCCCCAAUUUUACACCAACUAUUAUCAAUGAACUUUUAAGUACCUAGAACGGGUAAAACCAAAGCAAGACUUUAAAUUACCUUCUUCUUGGGGCCCGGCGCAGUGGCUCAUGCCUGUAAUCCCAGCAUUUUGGGAGGCCGAGGAGGGCAGAUCAUGAGGUCAGGAGAUUGAGACCAUCCUGACUAACAUGGUGAAACCUCGUCUCUACUAAAAAUACAUAAAUAUUAGCCGGGCGUGGUGGUGGGCACCUGUAGUCCCAGCUACUCGGGAGGCUGAGGCAGGAGAAUGGCGUGAACCCAGGAGGUGGAGCUUGCCAUGAGCCAAGAUUGCACCCCUGCACUCCAGCCUGGGUGACAGAGCGAGAUUCUGUCUCAUAAAAUAAAAUAAAAUAAAAUAAAAUAAAAUUACCUUCUUUCUUCUACUGGCAAUUCUGCCUGCAUCACUAUCAGGCGAGGGUGACCUUCCCUUGGUCAAGCCCCAGUUGCCCAUGAUUUGUGCCUGUGUCCUUUCUCCAGUAACCAUUUGGUGACAGAUGGUAGAUACAGAAAGGGGAUGGCAUUUGCAAGUGACUGGUCUGCCACAAAAUGCUCAUCUGAUCAGCCACUGCUGCCCUGGUGAUGGCUUUGUAAGAGUCAAUGAGAACUAGAGCCAUGCUGUGGUCCCUGGCCAUCAAC